rnacentral:sRNA from 1 species
UUGAGAGCCCUGGAGACUUAAGUCCUCGUUUUACCCACAGAGAAAGACCAGUAUGGGAAACGGAAGUACAUGCUUUACCCAUCCUACUUCUAGGCAUAAGGGGGAAUUACAUCUCCAUGGCUAUGAUGCCUUUUACUGCA